rnacentral:rRNA from 1 species
AGUGGCGCACGGGUGAGUAACACGUACGCAAUCUGCCUUGUGCAGGAGGAUAGCCCUGGGAAACUGGGCGUAAUACUCCAUGGUAUUGUCCAAUUGCAUGAUUGGAUAAUUAAAGCUACGGCGGCACGAGAUGAGCGUGCGUCUGGAUUAGGUAAUUGGGGAAGGAACGGGCUCACCAGGCCCGACGAUCAGUAAGGGGCGUGAGAGCGUGGCCCCUCACACGGGUACUGAGACACGGACCCGACUCCUACGGGAGGCAGCAGUAAGGAAUAUUGGACAAUGGGCGGAAGCCUGAUCCAGCCAUCCCGCGUGCAGGAUGACGGCCCUAUGGGUUGUAAACUGCUUUAGACUGGAAAGAAAGUUGCGGAUUUAUCUGUAAUUGACGGUACCAGUAGAAUAAGCACCGGCUAACUCCGUGCCAGCAGCCGCGGUAAUACGGAGGGUGCAAGCGUUAUCCGGAAUUACUGGGUUUAAAGGGUGCGUAGGCUGCUAUGUAAGUCAGAGGUGAAAGCCCGCCGCUUAACGGUGGAAUUGCCUUUGAUACUGCAUAGCUUGAAACAGGUUGAGGUUGGCGGAAUGUGACAUGUAGCGGUGAAAUGCAUAGAUAUGUCAUAGAACACCAAUUGCGAAGGCAGCUGACUGGACCUGGUUUGACGCUGAGGCACGAAAGCGUGGGGAGCGAACAGGAUUAGAUACCCUGGUAGUCCACGCCCUAAACGAUGCUUACUCGAUAUUCGUCCUUCGGGGUGAGUGUCCAAGCGAAAGCGAUCAGUAAGCCACCUGGGGAGUACGCCCGCAAGGGUGAAACUCAAAGGAUUGACGGGGGUCCGCACAAGCGGUGGAACAUGUGGUUAAUUCGAUGAUACGCGAGGAACCUUACCUAGGCUCGACUGGUA